GGAGACGCUGGAUUCUUCAUUUUUGAGACUUGGUCAAUCCAUCGGGACACCACCUGGGGUUCACUGGUUUGGUUCGUGGCCUGGCGCGUUACCAUUCCGAUUCGCGUCCUAAAGGGUCCUCGUCUGACACUCGAGCAUCGGCCAUCUCUUUAAGUCGACUGUGAAUGCUGGCCCUAUUUUCCAGCCGGUCAUGUCGAUCAAAUCUGC
rnacentral:lncRNA from 1 species